rnacentral:rRNA from 1 species
CGCAUCUGUGCAUGCAGCAUAUCAAUAAGCGGAGGAAAAGAAACUAACAAGGAUUCCCCUAGUAACGGCGAGUGAAGCGGGAAGAGCUCAAAUUUGAAAUCUUAAAGGGUUUCCCUUUACGAAUUGUAGUUUAAAGAGGUGUUUUCUGUUGAGGUUUUGGUAAAAGUUCUUUGGAAUAGGACAUCAUAGAGGGUGAGAAUCCCGUAUUUGACCUUUACUUUCAACUUUGUGAUACACUUUCAAAGAGUCGGAUUGUUUGGGAAUGCAGUCCAAAAUGGGUGGUAAAUUUCAUCUAAAGCUAAAUAUUGGCGAGAGACCGAUAGCGAACAAGUACCGUGAGGGAAAGAUGAAAAGAACUUUGAAAAGAGAGUUAAACAGUACGUGAAAUUGUCAAAAGGGAAGCGUUUGACACCAGUGUUGUUUUUCUGAAAAUCAAUUAAAGAACUGUUUAUGCUAAGUUGUUUAGACUUUAUCAGCUAUCUGUUUAGUUUUGAGCUUUUCUUUAAUGCACUUUUCAGUUAACAAGUCAACAUCAAUUUCUUUUGCUGUAAAAAAGCUUGAGGAAGGUGGCUUGAGAUUCGUCUUAAGUGUUUAUAGCCUCUUGCCUAUGCAGUCGGAGAGAUUGAGGUCUGCAGCGUAGAUCCUUCGGGGCUAAAUGCAUUUGUGCUAAGUUAUAGCAUUUUAUAGACAACUUGUUGACUAUGAUUUGUCUUGUAGCUUACUCGCUUAUGUUAUUUUACCUACGCUUAGGAUGUUGAACGCGCACAGAGUCUC